GCAUCGAUAGCUCAGUGGCAGAGCGGUGGGGCGUUUACCCAUGCGGCCCGGGUUCGAUCCCCGGUUGAUGCA